GCGGCUGUAGCUCAGCGGAUUAGAGCAUCGGUCUACGGAACCGAGGGUCGGGGGUUCGAAUCCCUCCAGCCGCACGA
rnacentral:tRNA from 1 species